ACUGGGAGCGGUGGCGCGUGCCUGUAGUCCCAGCUAUUCAGGAGGCUGAGGCUGGAGGAUCGCUUGAGCACAGGAGUUCUGGGCUGUAGUGCACUAUGCUGAUCGGGUGUCCGCACUAAGUUCAGCAUCAAUAUGGUGACCUCCCGGGAGCGGGGGACCAUCGGGUUGCCUAAGGAGGGGUGAACCAGCCCAGGUCAAAACUCUCACACUGAUCAGUAGUGGGAUCGCACCUACGAAUAGCCACUGCACUCCAGCCUGGGCAACAUAGGGAGACCCUGUCUCUA
ensembl:misc_RNA Metazoa_SRP Metazoan signal recognition particle RNA